rnacentral:rRNA from 1 species
UACGUAGGGUGCGAGCGUUAAUCGGAGUUACUGGGCGUAAAGCGUGCGCAGGCGGUUCGUUGUGUCGGCGGUGAAAGCCCCGGGCUUAACCUGGGAAUGGCCGUUGAAACUGGCGAACUGGAGUGUGGCAGAGGGGGUGGAAUUCCGCGUGGUAGCAGUGAAAUGCGUAGAGAAUGUGGAGGAACACCGAUGGCGAAGGCAGCCCCUGGGUCAAGAUUGACGCUCAUGCACGAAAGCGUGGGGAGCAAACAGG